rnacentral:rRNA from 1 species
AACGUACGCUGGCGGCACGCCUAACACAUGCAAGUCGAACGAAGUAGCAAUACUUAGUGGCAGACGGGUGAGUAACAUGUAGGUAUCUGCCCUUUGGCCUGGAAUAACACGAGGAAACUUGUGCUAAUACCGGAUAAGUCUUUACGGAGAAAGCUUUAUGCACCAUUGGAUGAGCCUGCAUUUGAUUAGUUUGUUGGUGGGGUAAUGGCCUACCAAGACUGUGAUCAAUAGCUGAUUUGAGAGGAUGAUCAGCCACAUUGGGACUGAGACACGGCCCAAACUCCUACGGGAGGCAGCAGUGGGGAAUCUUGCACAAUGGAGGAAACUCUGAUGCAGCGAUGCCGCGUGAGUGAAGAAGGCCCUUGGGUUGUAAAGCUCUUUCGUCGGGGAAGAAAAUGACUGUACCCGAAUAAGAAGGUCCGGCUAACUUCGUGCCAGCAGCCGCGGUAAUACGAAGGGACCUAGCGUAGUUCGGAAUUACUGGGCUUAAAGAGUUCGUAGGUGGUUGAAAAAGUUAGUGGUGAAAUCCCAGAGCUUAACUCUGGAACUGCCAUUAAAACUUUUCAGCUAGAGUAUGAUAGAGGAAAGCAGAAUUUCUAGUGUAGAGGUGAAAUUCGUAGAUAUUAGAAAGAAUACCAAUUGCGAAGGCAGCUUUCUGGAUCAUUACUGACACUGAGGAACGAAAGCAUGGGUAGCGAAGAGGAUUAGAUACCCUCGUAGUCCAUGCCGUAAACGAUGUGUGUUAGACGUUGGAAAUUUAUUUUCAGUGUCGCAGGGAAACCGAUAAACACACCGCCUGGGGAGUACGACCGCAAGGUUAAAACUCAAAUGAAUUGACGGGGACCCGCACAAGUAGUGGAGCAUGUGGUUUAAUUCGAAGAUACGCGCAGAACCUUACCAACACUUGACAUGUUCGUCGCGACUCUAAGAGAUUAGAGUUUUCGGUUCGGCCGGACGAAACACAGGUGCUGCAUGGCUGUCGUCAGCUCGUGUCGUGAGAUGUUGGGUUAAGUCCCGCAACGAGCGCAACCCUCACUUUUAGUUGCCAUCAUUAAGUUGGGCACUCUGAAAGAACUGCCAGUGAUAAGCUGGAGGAAGGUGGGGAUGACGUCAAGUCCUCAUGGCCCUUACGUGUUGGGCUACACACGUGCUACAAUGGUAUCUACAACAGGAAGCAAGACUGCGAAGUUAAGCAAAUCCCUAAAAGAUACCUCAGUUCGGAUUGCACUCUGCAACUCGAGUGCAUGAAGCUGGAAUUACUAGUAAUCGUGGAUCAGCGUGCCACGGUGAAUGCGUUCCCGGGUCU